GCUUACGGCCAUACCACCCUGAAUGCGCCCGAUCUCGUCUGAUCGAAGCUAAGCAGGGUCACCUGGUUAGUACUUGGAUGGGAGACCGCCUGGGAAUACCAGGUGCUGUAAGCU
rnacentral:rRNA from 1 species